rnacentral:rRNA from 1 species
UAACGCGAAGAACCUUACCAAGGCUUGACAUACACCGGAAACGGCCAGAGAUGGUCGCCCCCUUGUGGUCGGUGUACAGGUGGUGCAUGGCUGUCGUCAGCUCGUGUCGUGAGAUGUUGGGUUAAGUCCCGCAACGAGCGCAACCCUUGUUCUGUGUUGCCAGCAUGCCCUUCGGAGUGAUGGGGACUCACAGGAGACUGCCGGGGUCAACUCGGAGGAAGGUGGGGACGACGUCAAGUCAUCAUGCCCCUUAUGUCUUGGGCUGCACACGUGCUACAAUGGCAGGUACAAUGAGCUGCGAAGCCGUGAGGCGGAGCGAAUCUCAAAAAGCCUGUCUCAGUUCGGAUUGGGGUCUGCAACUCGACCCCAUGAAGUCGGAGUUGCUAGUAAUCGCAGAUCAGCAUUGCUGCGGUGAAUACGUUCCCGGGUCUUGUACACACCGA